rnacentral:rRNA from 1 species
GACGAACGCUGGCGGCGUGCUUAACACAUGCAAGUCGAACGGAAAGGCCCUGCUUUUGUGGGGUGCUCGAGUGGCGAACGGGUGAGUAACACGUGAGUAACCUGCCCUUGACUUUGGGAUAACUUCAGGAAACUGGGGCGAAUACCGGAUAGGAGCUCCUGCUGCAUGGUGGGGGUUGGAAAGUUUGGGCGGUUGGGGAUGGACUCGCGGCUUAUCAGCUUGUUGGUGGGGUAGUGGCUUACCAAGGCUUUGACGGGUAGCCCGCCUGAGAGGGUGACCGGCCACAUUGGGACUGAGAUACGGCCCAGUCUCCUACGGGAGGCAGCAGUGGGGAGUAUUGCAGAAUGGGGGGAAGCCUGAUGAAGCAACGCCGCGUGCGGGAUGACGGCCUUCGGGUUGUAAACCGCUUUCGCCUGUGACGAAGCGUGCGUGACGGUAAUGAGUAAAGAAGCACCGGCUAACUACGUG